rnacentral:rRNA from 1 species
CCUACGGGUGGCAGCAGUGGGGAAUAUUGGGCAAUGGGCGCAAGCCUGACCCAGCAACGCCGCGUGAAGGAAGAAGGCUUUCGGGUUGUAAACUUCUUUUGACAGGGAAGAGUAGCAGAAGGUGCCUGUCGAAUAAGCCACGGCUCACUCCGUGCCAGCCGCCGCGGUAAGAAGUAGGUGGCACGCGUUGUCCGGAUUUACUGGGUUGAAAGGGCGUGUAGCCGGGUUGACAAGUCAGAUGUGAAAUCCUGCGGCUUAACCGCAGAACUGCAUUUGAAACUGGUGAUCUUGAGUACUGGAGAGGCAGACGGAAGUCCUAGGGUAGCGGUGAAAUGCGUAGAUAUUAGGAGGAACACCAGUGGCGAAGGCGGUCUGCUGGACAGCAACUGACGGUGAGGCGCGAAAGCGUGGGGAGCAAACAGGAUUAGAUACCCCGGUAGUC